rnacentral:rRNA from 1 species
CUGCUGCCUUCCGUAGGAGUCUGGGCCGUGUCUCAGUCCCAGUGUGGGGGGCCUUCCUCUCAGAACCCCUACGCAUCGUCGCCACGGUGGGCCGUCACCCCGCCGUCUAGCUAAUGCGCCGCAUGCCCAUCCGCCACCGGAUCGCUCCUUUGGCCACCGGAGGAUGCCCUCCGGUGGCGUCACGGGGUAUUAGGCCGCGUUUCCGCGGGUUAUCCCCCUGUGGCGGCCAGGUUGCAUACGUGUUACUCACCGUGCGCCGGUCGCCGGCGG